AAUUUGCUCGAUGCGCUGUACACUUGAUUCGGUUGUGCGCAAGGAGGAAGAGAGAGCAAGCAAUGUGCGCGGCCUUCCAAUUAUUGAUAAUAAUUUAACUGUAACAGAUGAGGAAAAAGUAGCUAAACGCACGUUCGAAAACUUAACGGGUAGUUAUUACUCGCGGGAGCCAAUUUAUUGAUAUGCGACAUUACCUCCAUCUCAUAAUAAAAAUGUCUCUAAUAUUAAUCAAUAAUCAAUAGCUUCUAUACCCCAUAAAAAACCCACUGCCAAUUCAUUGGCACGUGGUUUCUUCAAAACGAAUAAAUUGUUUCAAUAUUUAGCAUAGCAAGCUCAGAUGAACCGAGAGGAUGCUAUCUGAUGCCCUUCUUAUCAUCGAUGACGAGUUGUCGCGAGGCUAAUUGUCCGAGCGCGGGCGACUCGCGAGUUAGUUCCGCGGGAGCAGCGACCCAAGACACUCACGUCUCUCUCUUCCUAUACGAAUAAACAAGAGUACACAUCAAGCAGGACUUAUUCUUUCUCCUAAUAAACCCGACUGCACCGUUCUCCAAGUCUUUGGGCUUGAACCUUUGACGGUACAACCGCAAACCCCGAACACGCACCUCUCUCUCUCUCGCUCCCUCCCCGUAACAAUAGCAACAGGGAAGCAGAGCUAUGACGGAUAACAUCGAAUGGACAGUAGCAGGCAACCGAACCUGAGGAGAUUACCAUAUAGAAUAGCAUCUUGGCAGAAUCGAAUGACCUAGAUUUGAGUAGUUACCUACGCAGUUCUUUAUUAGAAGAUGAUAACGAAUAUCUUCACCAAUCAUACAGUAACCCUAAAAAUUUGGAUGAGAUGUUACAUAAUGUAGAUUUUCUUCAAUCCAUUACGACUCCUGUUGAUGUUAAGAAAGGAGAAUUAUUUUUAAUGAAACUUAAAUUUUGCGUUACGAAUAAGUUAGCAGUUUCGGCUAUGACCAAUAUUUUUGAGUUUAUUUUAUGUUAUUUUUAAGUCACCAGUUAUGCCUGAUUCUCGAUAUUGUGUUCCAGAGAGUUUCAACAAUCGCAGAGUUCGACGGAUCCCGUGGCAUCCGACAUGGUUUUAACACUCGCCUGGUAGAGGUAAUCCCAGGCGAUUUCCUUCUUGAGGAAACUCAUUUUUUUUAUUUUCUACUAACGUGCACCCAGGAAUAAGGUGUUAAACCCAAACUGGGGGAGACUUACGACACCUCGUCUCCUGCACAAACUUAACACACUAAUCAGCCUCCGAAAGGGCGUAAAAGUACCGCUUUGUGCCGUCCGACUGGACUGGCUAAGUCAAGCCCCAGUCGGUUGCCCCAGGUCGCAUGUCGUCAUCUCAUCUCCAAAAACAAUUGUCAUUAAUUUCAUACUUACUAACAACUACGCGGAACCGAGAGUACUCUCUAUGAAGUUUAUUUCCUUUCUCUUCGAGUAGCAUUUUGUUUUCACGGAAUUACGCAUACGCUGGGCGUUGAGCAUGCGUUCCGACCAACGCAUCACGCUACAGAGUUCAUUCAUUACUUUUUCACAUUCAAUAGUCGGGUUCAUUUUCUUGUAAAACCACGUACCGUAGAUAUUAUUUUCGUUUCAGACUCAAUCAUCAAGUAAUUUUAUAUCAAUUUUCCUUUGUUUAUCACAUAUUCUACUUAAUCAAUAAAUAUUUCAUUAUAUUCCAUGAGUCAUUAAUUUUGUAUUUAAUAAAAAUAAAAUAUAUAUUUCUUACUUAUU